UACAGAGGGGGCAAGCGUUGUUCGGAAUUACUGGGCGUAAAGGGCGCGUAGGCGGCCUUCUAAGUCGAACGUGAAAUCCCCGGGCUCAACCCGGGAACUGCGUCCGAUACUGGAAGGCUUGAAUCCGGGAGAGGGAUGCGGAAUUCCAGGUGUAGCGGUGAAAUGCGUAGAUAUCUGGAGGAACACCGGUGGCGAAGGCGGCAUCCUGGACCGGCAUUGACGCUGAGGCGCGAAAGCAUGGGGAGCGAACAGG
rnacentral:rRNA from 1 species